AGCAGAUGCUUGCAGCCUUCUCAGGUGGAAUGGUGUUACUCUGUAUAGGGAGAUACCUGAAGCCUUCUGUAAGAGGAAAGACUCAGGAAAUUCUUCUCUGCAUUACUCUGAUUCCUGAUUGACUUCAGGGCUUGCACACCAGACCAACACACUUGGAGACCUGAGAUCCACCACUGAUUUAUAAAGCUGCCUAUUGCUUGACCUCCUGCACAAUUUUAGGAGAAAAGGGGUACAUUGCUGCUGGUGGCUUGCAGAAGUCUGUGUGUGAUCAUUGCUGCUGACUGCUGAACUACAAUCUCUCUGUGAUGAAUGAACUAAAGGAACCCAACCUGAUGUUUGGGUCACUGACUGGAUUAGCAAAAGUUUAAAAAAACCCUCCAAACCCCAAAAGUUCUAUUGCAAGUGCAUUUUAUCAAGCUACUCCUUUUUAGCGGUUUCCCUUUCUGGUCAUCAAAUUACUUUCGAACAGUGUUUUCAAAAGUUUAUCUCCUGUUUUGGUUUUCUGAUGCCAUUUUCCACAGACUUUACCCAGGUAUGUGUGAAGUAUUUUGGAUUGUUGGACUGCUGUUCCGCAGGCACUAACACAGCAGUCCUACAACUGUUUCCAGGCACUGGUAUGAAAUAAAAGCAACUGGCUUGCUAGUCCGGUGCUAGCAAAGGAAUUUGAAUGCCUUGUGAAAGUGACUGAUGCAGUUUUGCAAUCCUAGUUAAUUUUUGAACAAAAUAAUAAAUAAAAAUAACUACCAAAAUAAUGCUGGAUUCCUGAAAUUGUUGCUUAGGAGUUUUGGAGAAUAAAGCUUAAAAUCUCUGCACUAUCUAUUGCAAACUUGCUCCCUUGAAAAUAUUUGGGAAAUCUUUAUUUUCUGUAUGGGAAUAUUGUAGAACCUGUGUAAGUUGUUUUUUUUUUUUCAGGAUGAAAUGUGAAACCUGUUAAUUUAUGUUUCAUAAACCUACUGUAGUAAUGACACUACAGUCUGUAGUUUGGGGCUAGGAUCAAACUGAAGAAAGGAAGAGCAGAUGUUAAUGCACCAAAAAAAUAAUUCCCUGUGAUUCUCUGAGUGGUUUACAAGCAACACAUGCUUUAAAGAUGAAGCUGAGGAAGAUGAAGUACAAUAGGAAUGACUUAACUGUCACUUUCAAAGCAAUUUAUAAAUGCAUGAAAGGGAGGGAGUUGUUUCUGAUUGUGCUUGAGCACACUUCCAUGCAGGGAGACUUGUCAGAUGGCAUGGAAAUAAAAAGCAGCUUCUUUGGCAUGUUGUAUAUUGAUUGCUCUGUCAAGGACAGUGAUCUCUGAAUUGAUCUGAUGUUCUGCCACACUUCAUGCCCUGUCCUUUGCCUUAAUGCAGCACUAAUAACAGUUGUGAUAAUUGGAACUAUUACUUAACAUGUUUUUAAUCUCAGCAAGUAAGAGAUAAUGUUUCAUCAGAGCAGAAGUGUUGUC